rnacentral:lncRNA from 1 species
GUAAUUUCAGGAGAAAUCAUGCAUGGUUGUUUGAAUAGGGUUGAGAGAAACUGUUAUAUACUUUGCGGAGUUGUGAUAAAUGCAUACAGUCAUUCUUCACUUUUAUGAAAGGUUCUGUUGGCCCAUGGCAAGGACACUAAGACACUUCAUUUAGCUGAUAGGUCUCUGAGAGACCAAUUGAAGCUAUUCCUCUCAGAUGAUAUAAAAGAAUUCAAUCCAUGUGCCUCACUGAGUUGCAUCUUGGCUUAAUCAAGGGGACUGGAACAUGAGCCUGGUGACAUAUCAUCUGGGA